rnacentral:rRNA from 1 species
GUAGGGUCCAAGCGUUAAUCGGAAUUACUGGGCGUAAAGCGUGCGUAGGCGGUUGUGCAAGACCGAUGUGAAAUCCCCGGGCUUAACCUGGGAAUUGCAUUGGUGACUGCACGGCUAGAGUGUGUCAGAGGGGGGUAGAAUUCCACGUGUAGCAGUGAAAUGCGUAGAGAUGUGGAGGAAUACCGAUGGCGAAGGCAGCCCCCUGGGAUAACACUGACGCUCAUGCACGAAAGCGUGGGGGAGCAAACAGGAUUAGAUACCCUGGUAGUCCACGCCCUAAACGAUGUCAACUAGUUGUUGGGGAUUCAUUUCCCUCAGUAACGUAGCUAACGCGUGAAGUUGACCGCCUGGGGAUACGGUCGCAAGAUUA